rnacentral:rRNA from 1 species
CUACGGAGGGUGCAAGCGUUAUUCGGAAUCACUGGGCGUAAAGGACGCGUAGGCGGGUUGGCAAGUCAGAUGUGAAAUCUUACAGCUUAACUGUAGAACUGCAUUUGAAACUGCUAACCUAGAGUAUGGGAGGGGGAGAUGGAAUUAGUGGUGUAGGGGUAAAAUCCGUAGAUAUCACUAGGAAUACCGAAAGCGAAGGCGAUCUCCUGGAACAUAACUGACGCUAAGGCGUGAAAGCGUGGGGAGCAAACGGGAUUAGAAACCCUAGUAGUCC